rnacentral:ribozyme from 1 species
GUUAGCAUUUAACGGCCGGCCUUCCGUCCGUAACAAUACUUGAACGGCUGACAUUGGGUGUUGCUUCGAUGACACACCGUUCAAACUUUCGAUUUAUGUUGAGGAUGGGAACGAACGUCCAUUCU